rnacentral:rRNA from 1 species
AUUGAACGCUGGCGGCAGGCUUAACACAUGCAAGUCGAGCGGGGGAAGGUAGCUUGCUACCGGACCUAGCGGCGGACGGGUGAGUAAUGCUUAGGAAUCUGCCUAUUAGUGGGGGACAACAUCUCGAAAGGGAUGCUAAUACCGCAUACGUCCUACGGGAGAAAGCAGGGGAUCUUCGGACCUUGCGCUAAUAGAUGAGCCUAAGUCGGAUUAGCUAGUUGGUGGGGUAAAGGCCUACCAAGGCGACGAUCUGUAGCGGGUCUGAGAGGAUGAUCCGCCACACUGGGACUGAGACACGGCCCAGACUCCUACGGGAGGCAGCAGUGGGGAAUAUUGGACAAUGGGGGGGACCCUGAUCCAGCCAUGCUGCGUGUGUGAAGAAGGCCUUAUGGUUGUAAAGCACUUUAAGCGAGGAGGAGGCUACUCUAGUUAAUACCUAGGGAUAGUGGACGUUACUCGCAGAAUAAGCACCGGCUAACUCUGUGCCAGCCGCCGCAGUAA